rnacentral:rRNA from 1 species
UACGUAGGGUGCGAGCGUUGUCCGGAAUUAUUGGGCGUAAAGAGCUUGUAGGCGGUUUGUCGCGUCUGCUGUGAAAACCUAAGGCUCAACCUUGGGCUUGCAGUGGGUACGGGCAGACUAGAGUGCGGUAGGGGUGACUGGAAUUCCUGGUGUAGCGGUGGAAUGCGCAGAUAUCAGGAGGAACACCGAUGGCGAAGGCAGGUCACUGGGCCGCAACUGACGCUGAGGAGCGAAAGCGUGGGGAGCGAACAGG